AUGGUUUGUUCAUGCACCAGGU
rnacentral:miRNA from 1 species